UCAGAUUGAACGCUGGCGGCAUGCCUUACACAUGCAAGUCGAACGGCAGCACGGGGGGUAACCCCUGGUGGCGAGUGGCGAACGGGUGAGUAAUAUAUCGGAACGUGUCCUGUAGCGGGGGAUAACCUAUCGAAAGAUGGACUAAUACCGCAUACGACCUAUGGGUGAAAGCGGAGGACCGCAAGGCUUCGCACUAUAGGAGCGGCCGAUAUCGGAUUAGCUAGUUGGUGGGGUAACGGCCUACCAAGGCGACGAUCCGUAGCUGGUCUGAGAGGACGAUCAGCCACACUGGAACUGAGACACGGUCCAGACUCCUACGGGAGGCAGCAGUGGGGAAUUUUGGACAAUGGGCGCAAGCCUGAUCCAGCCAUGCCGCGUGAGUGAAGAAGGCCUUCGGGUUGUAAAGCUCUUUCGGCGGGGACGAAACGGUUCGUGCUAAUACCACGGACUACUGACGGUACCCGGCAGAAGAAAGCACCGGGCUAACUACGUGCCCAGCAGCCGCGGUAAUACGUAGGGGUGCAGGCGUUAAUCGGAAUUACUGGGCGUAAAGCGUGCGCAGGCGGUUUGUUAAGACAGGUGUGAAAUCCCCGGGCUUAACCUGGGAAUUGCGCUUGUAACUGGCAGACUGGAGUGUGGCAGAGGGGGGUGGAAUUCCAAGUGUAGCAGUGAAAUGCGUAGAUAUUUGGAGGAACACCGAUGGCGAAGGCAGCCCCCUGGGCUAACACUGACGCUCAUGCACGAAAGCGUGGGGGAGCAAACAGGAUUAGAUACCCUGGUAGUCCACGCCCUAAACUAUGUCAACUGGUUGUCGGGGGAAGCAAUUCCUUGGUAACGAAGCUAACGCGUGAAGUUGACCGCCUGGGGAGUACGGCCGCAAGGUUAAAACUCAAAGGAAUUGACGGGGGCCCGCACAAGCGGUGGAUUAUGUGGAUUAAUUCGAUGCAACGCGAAAAACCUUACCUACCCUUGACAUGUACGGAAUCCUCCAGAGAUGGAGGAGUGCCCGAAAGGGAGCCGUAACACAGGUGCUGCAUGGCUGUCGUCAGCUCGUGUCGUGAGAUGUUGGGUUAAGUCCCGCAACGAGCGCAACCCUUGCCAUUAGUUGCUACAUUUAGUUGGGCACUCUAAUGGGACUGCCGGUGACAAACCGGAGGAAGGUGGGGAUGACGUCAAGUCCUCAUGGCCCUUAUGGGUAGGGCUUCACACGUAAUACAAUGGCCGGUACAGAGGGUUGCCAACCCGCGAGGGGGAGCCAAUCCCAGAAAGCCGGUCGUAGUCCGGAUUGUUCUCUGCAACUCGAGAGCAUGAAGCCGGAAUCGCUAGUAAUCGCGGAUCAGCAUGUCGCGGUGAAUACGUUCCCGGGUCUUGUACACACCGCCCGUCACACCAUGGGAGUGGGUUCCACCAGAAGUAGCUAGCCUAACCGCAAGGAGGGCGGUUACCACGGUGAGAUUCAUGACUGGGGUGAAGUCGUAACAAGGUAGCCGUAGGGGAACCUGCGGCUGGAUCACCUCCUUAAGGGCGAAUUCGCCGGCCCCGGGAAA
rnacentral:rRNA from 1 species